rnacentral:rRNA from 1 species
GAUGAACGCUAGCGGCAGGCUUAACACAUGCAAGUCGAGGGGUAUUGGUUUUCGGACCAAGAGACCGGCGCACGGGUGCGUAACGCGUAUGCAAUCUACCUUUCACAGAGGGAUAGUCCAGAGAAAUUUGGAUUAAUACCUCAUAGUAUAGCAGUUUCGCAUGAAACCACUAUUAAAGUCACAACGGUGAAAGAUGAGCAUGCGUCCCAUUAGCUAGUUGGUAAGGUAACGGCUUACCAAGGCUACGAUGGUAGGGGUCCUGAGAGGAGAUCCCCANACUGGUACUGAGACACGGACCAGAUCCUACGGGAGGCAGCAGUGA